GUGGCGAACGGGUGAGUAACACGUGGGUAACCUGCCCAUCAGAAGGGGAUAACACUUGGAAACAGGUGCUAAUACCGUAUAACAAUCGAAACCGCAUGGUUUUGAUUUGAAAGGCGCUUUCGGGUGUCGCUGAUGGAUGGACCCGCGGUGCAUUAGCUAGUUGGUGAGGUAACGGCUCACCAAGGCCACGAUGCAUAGCCGACCUGAGAGGGUGAUCGGCCACAUUGGGACUGAGACACGGCCCAAACUCCUACGGGAGGCAGCAGUAGGGAAUCUUCGGCAAUGGACGAAAGUCUGACCGAGCAACGCCGCGUGAGUGAAGAAGGUUUUCGGAUCGUAAAACUCUGUUGUUAGAGAAGAACAAGGAUGAGAGUAACUGUUCAUCCCUUGACGGUAUCUAACCAGAAAGCCACGGCUAACUACGUGCCAGCAGCCGCGGUAAUACGUAGGUGGCAAGCGUUGUCCGGAUUUAUUGGGCGUAAAGCGAGCGCAGGCGGUUUCUUAAGUCUGAUGUGAAAGCCCCCGGCUCAACCGGGGAGGGUCAUUGGAAACUGGGAGACUUGAGUGCAGAAGAGGAGAGUGGAAUUCCAUGUGUAGCGGUGAAAUGCGUAGAUAUAUGGAGGAACACCAGUGGCGAAGGCGGCUCUCUGGUCUGUAACUGACGCUGAGGCUCGAAAGCGUGGGGAGCAAACAGGAUUAGAUA
rnacentral:rRNA from 1 species